rnacentral:lncRNA from 1 species
GUUUAACUUCAUAGAGAAACUUGUUGUCCAAACCUACGAUGGCACAACUUUAAUGGAAUGUAUCUGCUAUUUGUGUUUACAGCUACAGUAUGUCCCCUCUUGUUCCCUGAUUAAGAGGUGAGGACUACUCCACUCCACUACCAUUGUCAAUUUUCUCCUGACAUGAAUUGAAGCCACAUUGAAGCCACAAAUGUUUUCCUUCCAAGCACUGUGAGUAUCCCUAUCAAUUUUUUCUCAUUACUGUACUCCUUGCAUGGACGAACUAAUUCUUAGCUCUUUUGUCUUAACUGUGUAGUGUGUUAUGUUAUUGUUUUUGUCUUCCAAGUCAAAUCCUGUCCUGGUCAAGCCUCUGAACACCUCAACUUAUACCUCAUCCCUUUCCAACACUGUGUAAGUAGCCCUCUUGAUCCCAUUCCCCAUAAUAUUGUACUAUACAUUUAUUUAUUAAACACUUUGUUAAAAUAAUUAGUCUUUGACGAUUUUUGAAAGACACUUUGUCGUCUCCGUGCCUUCCGCGCCUAUAAUGUAGGUCUCCCAAACUACUCAAUUUUCCAAGUCACCAGCCUCCACUGACACACACCUAGCACAGAGCAGCCACUAAACAAUGCAGCAAACACUGCAUGCCACAAACAGCUGCUACCUUCUGCUGGGGCUCCAGAGAGAGAGAGGGUUGGGUGUAGGACAUGAAGCAUCAGACACACCACACGCUCCGCUCCUCUGUCCCAAACCCCCAGCCGAACCCCCAGCUGAGGGUCAAAUCCUGAACACACCUCAUACCCUCAUUCAAUUACUGCUGUGAUCCCUUCCCAACACUAUGUCUCCCAUCCUCCUCAAUGUUUCAGGUCACCAGCCUCCACUGAUGUACAGUAUAUGGAAAGACCAUCUAUAUACUGAAAAAUCCCUCUCUUCAAAUCAAUGAUGAUGAAUCACAUACAGUACAGUACUACUCCAGUAACUCCACCUAAGGCAGUGGUAAAGAUAGUGAAGAUAGUUUCCUGUGACUGUCCAACCAUCAACCAACAGCAAAGAGUCACAUGCAGGUAAAGCUUUCAAUUUGAACAUGACUUUGCUCUAAAAACUUUGAAGUGCCAAGUGAAGUCUUCUAUGAAACUUUGAUGAAGUAGGUCAUAAAAUAUGGAGGCCGUUACGAAGUGGACAUUAAUGGGUUGCCCAUGGGUAGACCCCACCAUGCAGAGUCUGUGAUGAGGUGAAACUACAUGCUGUGCUGAACACAAGAUUUCAGGAAUGGAGGGAAUGGAGGCGUGAGCAGAGCAGAGUACUACAAUUAAACUCCUCAUAUGAAAAAUAAAUAUGUA